CCUACUGGUGGCAGCAGUGGGGAAUAUUGGACAAUGGGCGAAAGCCUGAUCCAGCCAUGCCGCGUGUGUGAAGAAGGCCUUCGGGUUGUAAAGCACUUUCAGUGGGGAAGAAAGCCUUGGGGCUAAUACCCUCGAGGAAGGACAUCACCCACAGAAGAAGCACCGGCUAACUCCGUGCCAGCAGCCGCGGUAAUACGGAGGGUGCGAGCGUUAAUCGGAAUUACUGGGCGUAAAGCGCGCGUAGGCGGUCUGAUAAGCCGGUUGUGAAAGCCCCGGGCUCAACCUGGGAACGGCAUCCGGAACUGUCAGGCUAGAGUGCAGGAGAGGAAGGUAGAAUUCCCGGUGUAGCGGUGAAAUGCGUAGAGAUCGGGAGGAAUACCAGUGGCGAAGGCGGCCUUCUGGACUGACACUGACGCUGAGGUGCGAAAGCGUGGGUAGCAAACAGGAUUAGAUACCCCUGUAGUC
rnacentral:rRNA from 1 species